GACGAACGCUGGCGGCGUGCUUAACACAUGCAAGUCGAGCGGUAAGGCCCUUUCGGGGGUACACGAGCGGCGAACGGGUGAGUAACACGUGGGUGACCUGCCCUCAGCUCUGGGAUAAGCCUGGGAAACUGGGUCUAAUACUGGAUAUGACUCCACGGUGCAUGUCGUGGGGUGGAAAGCCUUGUGCGGCUGAGGAUGGGCCCGCGGCCUAUCAGCUUGUUGGUGGGGUGAGGCCUACCAAGGCGACGACGGGUAGCCGGCCUGAGAGGGCGACCGGCCACACUGGGACUGAGACACGGCCCAGACUCCUACGGGAGGCAGCAGUGGGGAAUCUUGCGCAAUGGGCGAAAGCCUGACGCAGCGACGCCGCGUGAGGGAUGACGGCCUGGUGUAAC
rnacentral:rRNA from 1 species